rnacentral:rRNA from 1 species
GCUAUGCAGUGGAUUUCUUGGCUCGGGGGUCAAUGAAGAUCCCAGCUAGCUGCGAGUUUGAAUGUGAACUGCAUGACACAG